rnacentral:lncRNA from 1 species
AAAAAGGACAGUCCAGAUUUGCUUUUUCAUCCUGUAUGCCUUUUUCCUCUCUUGCUGCAGAGCUGGGUCAACAGGAAGCUCUAAAGCAGGGGAUGAGGCCAUGGACGUCCCUGAAAAUGUGCCUCCUCUCUCUGCAGAGAUCAGGAUCAUCCUGGUCUCAGCUCAGCACCUGGAGUGAAGAGUACUCCCAGCAGAGCCAGAGCGGUGAGCCCACCCCGUUGCCCACUUCUGCGUGUCCACCCAGACUUAAGUCCAUCAGAGAACUGACGUCUCAAGGCAACCAAAGAAAUGGAAUUCAAGAAAGUAACAACAUUCUCCUAGCCACAGAAAUGCGAAAUGAGAUACACAGACUGUUUGACUUUUGGCAAGACACAGGAAGAAGAGAUGGCUGCCAUAGAAGGAACAAGAAACAAGCUGACAUUUUAGCAAAUUCCUAAAGACUUAGCGUGGGCUGGUGUACCAGUGUGGUGUAACUCCCCUUGUAGACGCCCGGGGAGUUCUCACGCUCCAGCUCUUCUCCACCGGCCUUUAACAGGUGUUCACAAAGACUGAGGGCAGGGCAGGAGACCAGAGAGAGCGUCCCUCAGUAGCCCAGGUGUGUAGGAAAUGAUUUGAUGACACUGGAGAACAGGAAAAAAAAUGAUUGCGUGCUUCCCCCAACCUUUCUGUGAUACAAAGCAAAAGUGUUACGCCACUGGGGCAAAUGCAGCAAAAACAUGUCGCCUCCAGAGCUAAUCGGGGAGGGGUAGAUGGAAAACCCAUCUGCCUUGGGUGAGGGUAUAAAAGCUUCCUUCCUGGCCCCUAGGAACCAGGUAAAGACCCACUGCUUCUGGGGAAGGAUAGAAACAGAAGCCGUGCGCCUUAGAGGAGGGGCAAGAAAAUCUCUUGGCCCAGGAUCUUGCACCAGCACAAAGCAGAGGUGUGCUACUGAUGGGAAGGGACGGGAAAAUGGCUCCUGCCAGCAGUUCACACCAAUGGGAGACAGAGUUUACUGCCCUGCGGGGCAGGAGGAGGAAGGGGAAGAGGAGGAGAAAGGAGGAGCAGGAAUGCUGAGAGAUCCUGCCUGCAAGGCCAAGUGCACAGUCCUUGCCUAAGACCGAGGCUGGACCAGGAGAAUUGAGAAUCUGCUCCUGCUCCCCAGGAGCCUAGCACCAAGUAGCAAGCACCGGUGGUCUACCAUGGAAGAGGGGAAAUAACAGCAAAAAGACCCCCUCUGUGGUGCCAGCUUGCCGGGACUGCUGAAAUCUGACGGUGGAGCAGAAAUACGGAAAAACUACUCCAGGACCCAAGGCCUCCGACUAAGCUACAGGCGAAGAGAGCGCACCACCAGAGCAAUUUGAAGCCUGUGGUGCGCUGCAGCUCAUGACAGCAACAAUAAAACCCAAACUUAGCUUGGCUACCGAGGAGAUCGAAUCAGUUCCCCCACACGAAUGGCCUGACAGAAGAGGCACACCCAUUUCCAGAAGUCAACAUCGUUUACCUCAUCUCUACUGUUCUUCAAACACGAUGACUGGCGGUCAACGAAAAACGGUGAGAUACCAAACAGCAAGGAAAAAAAAGACCCAAUGUUUCGUUUUUGUUUUCCCCAGUUUUAUCGAGAUAUAAUUGACAUGUGAGGUUGCAUAAGUUUAAGGGGUACAACACAAUGAUUUGAUACAAGUAUAUGCUAUGAAAUGACUACCACAAUAUGUUUAGUUAACAUCCAUCACCUCUCAGACCUUUUUUUCCUGUGAUGAGAACUUUAAGAUCUACUCUGUUAGCAACUUUCAAACAUACAAUACAGUCAUGCAUCGCUUUACAACGCAGACACAUUCUAAGAAAUGCGUCAUUAGGCGAUUUGGUCGUUACGUGAACAUCAUGGCGUGUACUUACACACACCUAGAUGGUGUAGCCUACUACACACCUGGGCUGUAUGGUACUGAUCUUAUGGGACCAGCGUCGUAUAUGCGGGCUGUCAUUGACUGAAAGGUCAUUAUGAGGUGCGUGACCGUACAGUAUUAUUAACUACAGACACCAUGCUGGACAUUAUGUCCCCAGAAUUUAUCAGUCUUAGAACUGGAAGUUUGUACCUUUUGACCAUCUUCCCCCUUCUCUCAUUCCACCCCACCCCCCUACCCUUGCCCCCUGGCCUCUGGCAACUACCAAUCUGUUCUCUGUUUCUAUGAGACCCGUUGUUAAGAAAUAAAGCAAUCACGGAACUAGCUCAGAGAUGCUGGAAUUAUCACAAAGUGUCUUUAAAAUAACUGUGAUUAAUAUAUUAAAGGAACGAGUGGAAAAUUUGCAUGCAUGAGCAGAUGGGGAACUGACCGUUCAGAGGAAAGGAGGAUGGGGACUAGGAGAAUCCUUUGAACAGUUACAGGUCAUUCCUUGCAGCCGGC